rnacentral:sRNA from 1 species
UGGAACCACAAUGUGGUACGGACUAGGA